rnacentral:misc_RNA from 1 species
UGGUGGUUGUUGCUCAAAUCCUUCCAAAAAUAAGUGAGUUAGGCACACAAGUCGGAUCAUUUUCAAGAGUUAGGCAAUCCGUUGGACUUCCAAGAUUUUGAUAACCUCGGCAGCUACCUCUCCUCCAUUAUUAUUUCGAGGGAAUGUUUGCGUACUUGCUUCAGGGACUUCAUUGGUGGUGGUACUUUCUUCUUCGCUGAUCACAGCAGGAACAGAGCCCGGUAAAUGGCUAGAGGGAGGUUGCUGCUGUAAGACUCCUCCAUGGAUGUAGUCAAACAUCAGAGACAUUGCAUCAUUAGUUUCUU